CGUUCUUCACUAGCUAGCUUUA
rnacentral:miRNA from 1 species